rnacentral:rRNA from 1 species
GACGAACGCUGGCGGCGUGCUUAACACAUGCAAGUCGAACGGAAAGGCCCUGCUUUUGUGGGGUGCUCGAGUGGCGAACGGGUGAGUAACACGUGAGUAACCUGCCCUUGACUUUGGGAUAACUUCAGGAAACUGGGGCUAAUACCGGAUAGGAGCUCCUGCUGCAUGGUGGGGGUUGGAAAGUUUCGGCGGUUGGGGAUGGACUCGCGGCUUAUCAGCUUGUUGGUGGGGUAGUGGCUUACCAAGGCUUUGACGGGUAGCCGGCCUGAGAGGGUGACCGGCCACAUUGGGACUGAGAUACGGCCCAGACUCCUCUGGGAGGCAGAAGUGGGGAAUAUUGCACAAUGGGCGGAAGCCUGAUGCAGCAACGCCGCGUGCGGGAUGACGGCUUUCGGGUUGUAACCCGCUUUCGCCUGUGACGAAGCGUGAGUGACGGUAAUGUGUAAAGAAGCACCGGCUAACUACGUG